rnacentral:tRNA from 1 species
GGUGAUAUAGGUCAGUUGGUAGAGUGAUUGCCUUGCAAGCAAUGCACAAGGCCCUGGGUUCAAUCCCCAGCACAACA